UUACGGCCAUAUCACGUUGAAACAGCGAUUCUCGUACGAUCAACAAAGUUAAGCAACGUCGAGCCUGGUCAGUACCUAAAUGGGUGACCGGUUAAGAAUAACAAGUACUGUUA